UACGUAGGGUGCGAGCGUUAAUCGGAAUUACUGGGCGUAAAGCGUGCGCAGGCGGCUUUGCAAGACAGAUGUGAAAUCCCCGGGCUCAACCUGGGAACUGCAUUUGUGACUGCAAGGCUAGAGUACGGCAGAGGGGGAUGGAAUUCCGCGUGUAGCAGUGAUAUGCGUAGAUAUGCGGAGGAACACCAAUGGCGAAGGCAAUCCCCUGGGCCUGUACUGACGCUCAUGCACGAAAGCGUGGGGAGCAAACAGG
rnacentral:rRNA from 1 species